ACGUAGGGGGCAAGCGUUGUCCGGAAUUAUUGGGCGUAAAGCGCGCGCAGGCGGCUGAUUAAGUCUGGUGUUUAAGGCUGGGGCUCAACCCCGGUUCGCACUGGAAACUGGUUGGCUUGAGUGCAGAAGAGGAAAGUGGAAUUCCACGUGUAGCGGUGAAAUGCGUAGAGAUGUGGAGGAACACCAGUGGCAAGGCGACUUUCUGGGCUGUAACUGACGCUGAGGCGCGAAAGCGUGGGGAGCAAACAGGAUUAGAAACCCCUGUAGUCC
rnacentral:rRNA from 1 species